UUUUUUUAUAAGCAGAAUAACUCCGAAUUGUAACAGAACUGCACAAAUUCUUGCAGAUUAAACUCUGUGCACACUUGUACUGUUGUUUACUUUGACAAAAGCAUUUCUGUAUUUUUUUUUUUUUUUUUUUUUUUUGUUUUUUUUUUUUUUUUUUUUUUUUUUUUUUUUUUUUUUUUUUUUUUUUUUUUUUUUUUUUUUUUUU